CGCGGGGUGGAGCAGUUCGGUAGCUCGUCGGGCUCAUAACCCGAAGGAACCAACGCAUGACGGAGUCAAAGUCCGUUGCCUUACCGCUU
rnacentral:tRNA from 1 species